CUGCAGGCUGGUGCUGCUGUGGCUCUGGCAGCCCCUGGCCGGGCUCCCACGUCCCCUCCCGUCUUGUGGCGUGGUUUGUCUUUGUCUCUGUUGGCACUGCUGCUCUGGGACACCUAAAUAAGAGAGAACCACAGCCCAGCCAUCACCAUACACUGGAAGGAAUUAUUAGCAGCAUUUCAGUGCAUUACUAUGCCAAAAAGGUGCCUUUGGAAGAUAGAAAUAAAUUGGAAGCGUGGGGAUUCAUUGUGAUAUGCCUGCCACAGGUGUAAUGUGUAUUCCGGCUCAGAGGAAUUCAGCCUCUUGGUUUCAGCCGUGGGAAGCGGAGGCGUGCUCGGGAGGUGGGAGGAUGCUCCGGGGGACCAAGCGAGCAUCCUGCCAGCGGGCAAGCUCAGCUCCUGGGGCGCCCACGCCAGGGUGGGUAACAUCUACGACCGGCCGUGUGCAGGGUGUGCGCUUUCACACGUAGUCAGCAACAGAGGGGUAGAAUAAAUCACGUUUGUUAACUAAUAUGGAAAAUGAAGCUCUGUUUAGAAAACGUGUGGAUAAAUAGAGACUAUGCCUUUUAUAUGUGUGUGUUACUGCUUGGGUGUAUAUUAGUUACUGGUUGACAUAGCUUACAAAACUGCCCCAUCUCAUCACCAUAGCAGCACUAACACCAAUAGCAGUAUUUGGGCUGUUGUGGUGAGGGGGGUGAGGGCCCAGAUAUUGUAGCAUCUUUGACAGUGAGCAAUCCCUUCUUGAGAGAGACGCUUGUAUGUACAGACUGCCUACACAUGGUCAGCUCUGAGCCUGGAUGUAUAGGCAUAUGGAUGCAAACACAUAUUUUGUAAAAGCAUUUGUAAGUACAUCAUGAUUAUCCCUAUAAACUAAAAUACCUGUAUUCA